UACGUAGGGAGCAAGCGUUGUUCGGAUUUACUGGGCGUAAAGGGCGCGUAGGCGGCAAUUCAAGUCAGCUGUGAAAUCUCCGGGCUUAACUCGGAACGGUCAGCUGAUACUGCUUUGCUAGAGUGCGGAAGGGGCAAUCGGAAUUCUCGGUGUAGCGGUGAAAUGCGUAGAUAUGCGGAGGAACACCGAUGGCGAAGGCAAUCCCCUGGACCUGUACUGACGCUCAUGCACGAAAGCGUGGGGAGCAAACAGG
rnacentral:rRNA from 1 species